GGCAGCAUGGCUUAGUGGUUUAAGCAUUAGACUACAACUUUGUAAACCAGGGUUUGAUUCCUGGCUCAGUCA